rnacentral:rRNA from 1 species
AACGAACGCUGGCGGCAGGCCUCAAACAUGCAAGUCUAGGGGGUGCAGCAAUGCAUCACCGGCGGACGGGUGCGUAACGCGUGGGAAUAUACCUUUUGGUUCGGAACAACUGCGGGAAACUGCAGCUAAUACCGAAUGUGCCCUAACGGGGAAAGAUUUAUCGCCAAAGGAUUAGCCCGCGUAGGAUUAGCUAGUUGGUGAGGUAAUGGCUCACCAAGGCUCCGAUCCUUAGCUGCUGAGAGGAAGAUCAGCCACACUGGGACUGAGACACGGCCCAGACUCCUACGGGAGGCAGCAGUUGGGAAUCUUGGACAAUGGGGGAAACCCUGAUCCAGCCAUGCCGCGUGAGUGAUGAAGGCCUUCGG